UGUAAAUGUGAGUGAUACCCUAAUCAGAAUAUGCUGUUGCUGAGAUCUAUUAUCCAGAUAUAGGUUCAAGGGCGACCCUUGGUCUUAUUUUGCAAAAUAUAUGAACAUUCUUACUCAGCAUGUGAGGAAGGACAAUGACGUCUAAACCAAGAUUCUUCCCUUCUCCCAAAUGCAAAGGCAGUUCAGAGCAAGUAAAAGAAAUUCCAGUUCUGCUCCAUGGGGACUGACAUGCUUUCUGGGUAGUAGGAUCGCAGGAAAUUCUCGAGUCUUGGUCUGUCCUGUGAUUUGAAAGUGUGGAAGACAUCAAGACCUAUUAUUUGCAAUAAAAUAGCAUAACUCUUUUA